CCUACGGGAGGCAGCAGUGAGGAAUAUUGGUCAAUGGGCGCGAGCCUGAACCAGCCAAGUAGCGUGAAGGAAGACUGCCCUACGGGUUGUAAACUUCUUUUAUAAAGGAGUAAAGUGAGGCACGUGUGCCUUUUUGUAUGUACUUUAUGAAUAAGGAUCGGCUAACUCCGUGCCAGCAGCCGCGGUAAUACGGAGGAUCCGAGCGUUAUCCGGAUUUAUUGGGGUUAAAGGGAGCGUAGGUGGGUUGGUAAGUCAGUUGUGAAAGUUUGCGGGUCAACCGUAAAAUUGCAAUUGAUACUGGCAGCCUUGAGUACAGUAGAGGUAGGCGGAAUUCGUGGUGUAGCGGUGAAAUGCUUAGAUAUCACGAAGAACUCCGAUUGCGAAGGCAGCUUACUAAGCUGCCACUGACAUUGAUGCUCGAAAGUGUGGGUAUCAAACAGGAUUAGAUACCCCUGUAGUC
rnacentral:rRNA from 1 species